AUCACUGCUUCUGAACAGACUGCCUCAGGGGGUGCAUCCGAGAAGAUAAAGUUGCCACCUAUUUGCAAUACCGAGUCGUUUACUUUAGCAGCUGUGAUAAAUUUAUUGCUGCUCUUUGGAGAGCUCCAAACAGGACUCUGAACUGAGUGAGUAUGAUGAUGAUGACUCUGAAAAUGGAGGAUGACGGGGAAACUCCUAAUAAGGAAUUAUUGUUCAUUUUGUGUUAUUAAUUAUUAGAUUUUCUCCACUUUAGAUGACUGUUGAGUUACCCAAGAGGAAAGCUAAGCAGGGGAUAAAGACUCCGCCACAACCAUGCAGGGCCCAGCCAGAAAGAUGCCACCAUAGAUGACGACCAUAGAUGACGACUGGCGUACAAAUUUAGAGACUUUUUUUUAAACAUUUUAUUGUUGUGCAAUCAAAAUGCUCUACACAUGUCAUGUGAUAACCCACAGCUUGACCGAAAAUUGGCUGAUGUAACGAUACCUAGCAGGAGCUCAUUUAUUAUUAUAUAUAGCGUCCAUGUCAUUUAUUCAUGUACAGACCAGGUAUAGUUUAAGUAAUUCCUACAACAAU